rnacentral:rRNA from 1 species
CGAACGCUGGCGGCAGGCUUAACACAUGCAAGUCGAGCCGCCCCUUCGGGGGAGCGGCAGACGGGUGAGUAACGCGUGGGAAUUUACCCUUUUCUACGGAAUAACUCAGGGAAACUUGAGCUAAUACCGUAUACGCCCAUUUGGGGAAAGAUUUAUCGGAGAAGGAUGAGCCCGCGUUUGAUUAGCUAGUUGGUGGGGUAAAGGCCUACCAAGGCGACGAUCAAUAGCUGGUCUGAGAGGAUGAUCAGCCACAUUGGGACUGAGACACGGCCCAAACUCCUACGGGAGGCAGCAGUGGGGAAUAUUGGACAAUGGGGGCAACCCUGAUCCAGCCAUGCCGCGUGAGUGAUGAAGGCCCUAGGGUUGUAAAGCUCUUUCAACGGUGAAGAUAAUGACGGUAACCGUAGAAGAAGCCCCGGCUAACUUCGUGCCAGCAGCCGCGGUAAU